GACUAGCACUCACUGAGAGUCCUGCUUCCAUUUUGUAGCUCUUAAACUGGGAAUUCAAAGCAUCGAGUCCACCACUUUCUCCAGGAUUUCCAGCAUACUCCAUCGUACGCCACAUUUCUUCUAAAAAUGGAGACAUAGGCCAUGUGUCCGCUAGGUGCUUGAUUACAGAAGAAAAUGAAACAUUCACCAUGGGAUGUGAUGAGCUAUCGGUGGCCGUUGUCAGGGUAAUGGUUACUAAUGUUUUAAUAUCUAAGCAGGCUUACCCGUUCUCAUUUUCUGCUUGUGUGUUGUGUUGACCACUUUCCUGUUGCUGUGAUCAAGACACCAAAACCAGCCUUUGAAAGCAUUUACUAUGGCUUGGAUCUCCGCAAAGUCCAUGAUGGCAAGGGAGGCAGAAGACCAGGAGGCUGAGAGACACAACUUCAUCCACACCCAGGAAGCUGAGAAUGAAGUGGCAGGCCAUGGGACAGGGCAGCAAACUCUCAAAACCCAGCCCUGCUGAGGUAUUUCCUCCAGCUGGCCACCAAGCCCAAUGGCCAGAGUUUGAUCUCCAGAACCCUCAUGAUGGAAAAAAAGAACAGGAAAAAGUUGUCAUCUGAUCACCAGACAUUCACACCUUUAUUUUCUUUUUCACAGUGGCCAUUGCUGUCAGUGAGAAGUGGUUUGUCACUGUGGUUUUAAUUUGUACCUCCCUGAUUAGUAGCAAUAUGAUCAUUUAUUCGAGUAUUUGAAGAAUGUCUGUAUUCAGAUCCUUUGUCCAUUCUCUGACUGAGUUAUUUUCUCAUGGCUGAGUUAUGUAAAUUGCUCACUUCUUAUGCAUUUAGGAUAUUAAUCAGAUAUAUCAGGUUAAAAAUACUUCUCCCAUUCUGUAGAUGGAUUCUUCACUCUAUGAUUUUAAUUGUAUAAAAGAUUUUUAGCCCUUUUUGUUUUAUUUAGUUUUUGCUUUUGUCUUUUUUUGUUUUUAUUGCCUUGUGUUGGAGUUUUAUUUUUAAAAAUGGCUUCCCAGACCAAUGUCAUGGAGAUUCCUCCAUGCUGUCUUCUGAACUUCCGUGUCUCACAUAUGAGUCUGUAAUCCAUCUGGGGGUUUAUUUGUGUGUUAAGUUGAUAAGAGGGAAGGGACUCUCAGUGUUCUGCUUGUGAAGACUCUGUUUUCCUGACUCAUUUGAGGAUACUGGCCUGCCCUGCUGUAUGUCAGGAGGCUAGCCUGCCUUACUGUGUGUGAGGAGACUGACCUGUCUACUGUGUGUGAGGAGACAGUCUGCCCUACUGUGUGUGAGUCUUCUCCUGGAGAAAUUCCAGUUCCUUGGGGUCCAGUGUUUUAAUAGCCUGAUAGUCAAAGGGUAGGUUGUCUUAUUAGAAUACCUUCAUUCCUGCCAGGCCAAGCACAGUUAUGUCAAUUAUGUUUGAUAUGAUUGAUUAUUGGUUAUGGUCAUAAAGGUUGGUCUCAGUUGUCAAAUUGA